rnacentral:rRNA from 1 species
UACGAGGGGGGCGAGCGUUGUUCGGAAUUAUUGGGCGUAAAGGGUGCGUAGGCGGUUUGGUAAGUCUGAUGUGAAAUCUAUGGGCUCAACUCAUAGUCUGCAUCGGAAACUGCCGGGCUUGAGUGUGGGAGAGGUGAGUGGAAUUCCUGGUGUAGCGGUGAAAUGCGUAGAUAUCAGGAGGAACACCUGUGGCGAAAAGCGGCUCACUGGACCAUAACUGACGCUGAUGCACGAAAAGCUAGGGGGAGCAAAACAGG